GGACGAUACUCAGUACAUGGGCUGAUACAGGACGGUACAGGGAAGAUUAGCAUGGCCCUUUCACAAGGAUGAGAUACAAAUAAAUGAUGUAUUCCUUAGUGUA
ensembl:snRNA LOC120096102 U6 spliceosomal RNA